CCUACGGGAGGCAGCAGGGGGGAAUAUUGCACAAUGGGGGAAACCCUGAUGCAGCGACGCCGCGUGAGUGAAGAAGUAAUUCGGUACGUAAAGCUCUAUCAGCAGGGAAGAAAAUGACGGUACCUGAGUAAGAAGCCCCGGCUAACUACGUGCCAGCAGCCGCGGUAAUACGUAGGGGGCAAGCGUUAUCCGGAGUUACUGGGUGUAAAGGGAGCGUAGACGGUGCGCCAAGUCUGGAGCGAAAUGCCGCAGCUUACCUGCGGUACUGCUUUGGAAACUGGCGAACUAGAGUGCGGGAGGGGGAAGCGGAAUUCCUAGGGUAGCGGUGAAAUGCGUAGAUAUUAGGAGGAACACCGGUGGCGAAGGCGGCUUACUGGACCGUAACUGACGUUGAGGCUCGAAAGCGUGGGGAGCAAACAGGAUUAGAUACCCGUGUAGUC
rnacentral:rRNA from 1 species